rnacentral:lncRNA from 1 species
GAGCUCUCAUUUCAGAGUCCAGUGUAGAUCUCCACAGUGAAACGGUCUGUACUAAACUACAAAUGUUUUUAACAAGAGAAAGCACUGACUAAACCUUAAGAUCUCAAGCAGAAAAACAAAACGAGUGGAAGGGACAAAACAAGUAAAGAUUAUUCUGAUGCCUAAAGCCAGACAGAAUACAACUUCAAGUACCAUGGACAAAGAAACAGAGAACAUGGAAGAGUUCAUCGACAUCCUCGUCUCCAAGGUCAUCGAACAUUCUGCUGCGAACCUCAGCGAGCUUAUGCUGUCAAUCAGCCACUGGGAUGCAGAGGAAUGCAUCACAACUGAGGAUGACAAAGACAAAUCCUCUGCUGGUUGUCUCACCCAACAGAAGGUGCAGCAACACCUGGAUAGGUUUUUUACAAAGCGACGACUGUUUGCUGAACAUUGUGGGGACAUUCUAGAGGACAAAGAGGUCACCUGCCCCAGCAUCUCUCCAACCAAAGAAAAAAUAAUGACAAACUCCUCUUCUUCGACAUCAUGCCAAAGCUGUCCGUAUCCAGAGAGCCUGGAGAAACAGGCAAAAGCAGCCAAAAUGCUCAUCUCCCAAGUGAUCGACGAUCAUCAUAAGCAGUCCAUUGAGGCACUGAGGAAACUUCAUACCACUGAUUCUGCCAGCAAAACAGAGAAACCAGCUGGCAAGUCAUAUGUCAAAAAGCUAAAGUCAGCAUGGAAGAGACGCUUUGGCAGGAAGAAGAGCAACAGAGUCAAACCUGUUUCAGAGCAACAUGUAGACCAGGCCAACAAGGACAGUGCAGAUUCUUCCAAACAAGACCUGAGAUCCACCUGUCUAGAGCUGGUUGAGAAAGAAGAGGACUCUAUCGAGACAGAGAUGAGGAAUCUCCCAUCUCCAGCCUCCAGCAGCUCAUUUCCAUCACCCGAUCAGGUAGAGGAGAAAGCACAGCCAGAGAGCCAUGCUCUGGUCGAAACUGCAACAGUUUUCCAGGAAGAGCUGAGAAGUUGGAAAUCCACAGACUCUUGUGAUGGGGUUCUGAGGGCUGCUGCCGACACUGAGUGGGGAGGUAUCUACCCCUGACCUGGCAGACAGCUGCUGUCAGGCCUUUCAGGAAACCUAUAUUCCUACUUCCACGGCCCAGACAGUUCAAACAUUGCCUAUUGAAGGCCAGGAAGAGGUAGUGAGCACACCACAUACCACUAAUUCUGCCAGCAAAACAAAAAAAACAGCUGGCAAGUCAUUUGUCAAAAAGUUAAAGUCAGCAUGGAAGAGCCGCUUUGGCAGGAGGAAGAGCAACAGAGUCAAACCUGUUUCAGCGCAACAUGUAGACCAGGCCAACAAGGACAGUGAAGCUUCUUCCAAACAAGACCUGAUAUCCACCCUGUCUGGAGCUGGUUGAGAAAGAAGAGGACUCUAUAGAGAUGGAGAUGAGGAAUCUCCCAUCUCCAGCCUCCAGCAGCUCAUUUCCAUCACCCAAUCAGGUAGAUGAGGACGCUCAGCCAGAGAGCCAUGCGCUGGUCGAAACUGCAACAGUUUUCCAGGAAGAGCUGAGAAGUUGGAAAUCCACAGACUCUUGUGAUGGGGUUCUGAGGGCUGCUGCCGACACUGAGUGGGGAGGUAUCUACCCCUGACCUGGCAGACAGCUGCUGUCAGGCCUUUCAGGAAACCUAUAUUCCUACUUCCACGGCCCAGACAGUUCAAACAUUGCCUAUUGAAGGCCAGGAAGAGGUAGUGAGCACACCACAUACCACUAAUUCUGCCAGCAAAACAAAGAAAAACAGCUGGCAAGUCAUUUGUCAAAAAGCUAAAGUCAGCAUGGAAGAGACGUUUUGGCAGGAAGAAGAGCAACAGAGUCAAACCUGUUUCAGCGCAACAUGUAGACCAGGCCAACAAGGACAGUGAAGCUUCUUCCAAACAAGACCUGAUAUCCACCUGUCUGGAGCUGGUUGAGAAAGAAGAGGACUCUAUAGAGACAGAGAUGAGGAAUCUCCCAUCUCCAGCCUCCAGCAGCUCAUUUCCAUCACCCGAUCAGGUAGAGGAGAAAGCACAGCCAGAGAGCCAUGCUCUGGUCGAAACUGCAACAGUUUUCCAGGAAGAGCUGAGAAGUUGGAAAUCCACAGACUCUUGUGAUGGGGUUCUGAGGGCUGCUGCCGACACUGAGUGGGGAGGUAUCUACCCCUGACCUGGCAGACAGCUGCUGUCAGGCCUUUCAGGAAACCUAUAUUCCUACUUCCACGGCCCAGACAGUUCAAACAUUGCCUAUUGAAGGCCAGGAAGAGGUAGUGAGCACACCACAUACCACUAAUUCUGCCAGCAAAACAAAAAAAACAGCUGGCAAGUCAUUUGUCAAAAAGUUAAAGUCAGCAUGGAAGAGCCGCUUUUGGCAGGAGGAAGAGCAACAGAGUCAAACCUGUUUCAGCGCAACAUGUAGACCAGGCCAACAAGGACAGUGAAGCUUCUUCCAAACAAGACCUGAUAUCCACCCUGUCUGGAGCUGGUUGAGAAAGAAGAGGACUCUAUAGAGAUGGAGAUGAGGAAUCUCCCAUCUCCAGCCUCCAGCAGCUCAUUUCCAUCACCCGAUCAGGUAGAGGAGAAAGCACAGCCAGAGAGCCAUGCCUGGUCGAAACUGCAACAGUUUUCCAGGAAGAGCUGAGAAGUUGGAAAUCCACAGACUCUUGUGAUGGGGUUCUGAGGGCUGCUGCCGACACUGAGUGGGAGGUAUCUACCCCUGACCUGGCAGACAGCUGCUGUCAGGCCUUUCAGGAAACCUAUAUUCCUACUUCCACGGCCCAGACAGUUCAAACAUUGCCUAUUGAAGGCCAGGAAGAGGUAGUGAGCACACCACAUACCACUAAUUCUGCCAGCAAAACAAAGAAAACAGCUGGCAAGUCAUUUGUCAAAAAGCUAAAGUCAGCUUGGAAGAGACGUUUUGGCAGGAAGAAGAGCAACAGAGUCAAACUUGUUUCAGCGCAACAUGUAGACCAGGCCAACAAGGACAGUGAAGCUUCUUCCAAACAAGACCUGAAUCCACCUGUCUGGAGCUGGUUGAGAAAGAAGAGGACUCUAUAGAGACAGAGAUGAGGAAUCUCCCAUCUCCAGCCUCCAGCAGCUCAUUUCCAUCACCCGAUCAGGUAGAGGAGAAAGCACAGCCAGAGAGCCAUGCUCUGGUCGAAACUGCAACAGUUUUCCAGGAAGAGCUGAGAAGUUGGAAAUCCACAGACUCUUGUGAUGGGGUUCUGAGGGCUGCUGCCGACACUGAGGGGGAGGUAUCUACCCCUGACCUGGCAGACAGCUGCUGUCAGGCCUUUCAGGAAACCUAUAUUCCUACUUCCACGGCCCAGACAGUUCAAACAUUGCCUAUUGAAGGCCAGGAAGAGGUAGUGAGCACACCACAUACCACUAAUUCUGCCAGCAAAAACAAAAAAAACAGCUGGCAAGUCAUUUGUCAAAAAGUUAAAGUCAGCAUGGAAGAGCCGCUUUGGCAGGAGGAAGAGCAACAGAGUCAAACCUGUUUCAGCGCAACAUGUAGACCAGGCCAACAAGGACAGUGAAGCUUCUUCCAAACAAGACCUGAUAUCCACCUGUCUGGAGCUGGUUGAGA